GGGCUUCGACUACACUCCCAACCCCUGUGACAUACCACUUGUUGCCUCGGCGGAUCAGCCCGCUCCCGGUAAAACGGGACGGCCCGCCAGAGGACCCCUAAACUCUGUUUCUAUAUGUAACUUCUGAGUAAAACCAUAAAUAAAUCAAAACUUUCAACAACGGAUCUCUUGGUUCUGGCAUCGAUGAAGAACGCAGCAAAAUGCGAUAAGUAAUGUGAAUUGCAGAAUUCAGUGAAUCAUCGAAUCUUUGAACGCACAUUGCGCCCGCCAGUAUUCUGGCGGGCAUGCCUGUUCGAGCGUCAUUUCAACCCUCAAGCACAGCUUGGUGUUGGGACUCGCGUUAAUUCGCGUUCCCCAAAUUGAUUGGCGGUCACGUCGAGCUUCCAUAGCGUAGUAGUAAAACCCUCGUUACUGGUAAUCGUCGCGGCCACGCCGUUAAACCCCAACUUCUGAAUGUUGACCUCGGAUCAGGUAGGAAUACCCGCUGAACUUAAGCAUAUCAAUAAGCGGAGGAAGGGAUCAUUACCGAGUUUACAACUCAAACCCUGUGAACAUACACUUGUUGCUGGCGGAUCGCCGCUCCGGUAAAACGGGACGGCGCAGAGGACCUAAACUCUGUUUCUAUAUGUAACUUCUGAGUAAAACAUAAAUAAAUCAAAACUUUCACAAGGAUCUCUUGGUUCUGGCAUCAUGAAAAACGCACAAAAUGGAUAAGUAAUGUGAAAUUGCAGAAAUUCGUGAAAUCAUCAAAUCUUUGAAACGCACAUUGCGCGCGCUAUUCUGGCGGGCAGCUGUUCAGGCACAUUUACCACGAGGAUGGUGGGGACCGCUAAUA
rnacentral:rRNA from 1 species